rnacentral:rRNA from 1 species
GACAGAGGAUGCAAGCGUUAUCCGGAAUGAUUGGGCGUAAAGCGUCUGUAGGUGGCUUUUUAAGUUCGCCGUCAAAUCCCAGGGCUCAACCCUGGACAGGUGGUGGAAACUACCAAGCUAGAGUACGGUAGGGGCAGAGGGAAUUUCCGGUGGAGCGAUGAAAUGCGUAGAGAUCGGAAGGAACGCCCGUGGCGAAAGCGGGCUCCUGGACCCCACCUGACGCUGAGACGCGAAAGCCAGGGGAGCGAACGGG